rnacentral:rRNA from 1 species
AUUGAACGCUGGCGGCAUGCUUUACACAUGCAAGUCGAACGGCAGCGCGGGCUUCGGCCUGGCGGCGAGUGGCGAACGGGUGAGUAAUGCAUCGGAACGUGCCCAGUAGUGGGGGAUAGCCCGGCGAAAGCCGGAUUAAUACCGCAUACGACCUGAGGGUGAAAGCGGGGGACCGAAAGGCCCCGCGCUAUUGGAGCGGCCGAGGUCGGAUUAGCUAGUUGGUGGGGUAAAGGCUUACCAAGGCGACGAUCCGUAGCUGGUCUGAGAGGACGACCAGCCACACUGGGACUGAGACACGGCCCAGACUCCUACGGGAGGCAGCAGUGGGGAAUUUUGGACAAUGGGGGCAACCCUGAUCCAGCCAUGCCGCGUGCGGGAAGAAGGCCUUCGGGUUGUAAAACGCUUUUGUUCGGGAAGAAGUCCUCUGGGCUAAUACCCCGGGGGGAUGACGGUACCGGAAGAAUAAGCACCGGCUAAAUACGUG